AUUGAACGCUGGCGGCAGGCCUAGCACAUGCAAGUCGAGCGGUAGAGAGAAGCUUGCUUCUCUUGAGAGCGGCGGACGGGUGAGUAAUGCCUAGGAAUCUGCCUGGUAGUGGGGGAUAACGUUCGGAAACGGACGCUAAUACCGCAUACGUCCUACGGGAGAAAGCAGGGGACCUUCGGGCCUUGCGCUAUCAGAUGAGCCUAGGUCGGAUUAGCUAGUUGGUGAGGUAAUGGCUCACCAAGGCGACGAUCCGUAACUGGUCUGAGAGGAUGAUCAGUCACACUGGAACUGAGACACGGUCCAGACUCCUACGGGAGGCAGCAGUGGGGAAUAUUGGACAAUGGGCGAAAGCCUGAUCCAGCCAUGCCGCGUGUGUGAAGAAGGUCUUCGGAUUGUAAAGCACUUUAAGUUGGGAGGAAGGGUUGUAGAUUAAUACUCUGCAAUUUUGACGUUACCGACAGAAUAAGCACCGGCUAACUCUGUGCCAGCAGCCGCCGUAA
rnacentral:rRNA from 1 species